CCUACGGGAGGCAGCAGUGGGGGAUAUUGGACAAUGGGGGGAACCCUGAUCCAGCGACGCCGCGUGAGUGAAGAAGUAUUUCGGUAUGUAAAGCUCUGUCAGCAGGGAAGAAAGAAAUGACGGUACCUGACCAAGAAGCCCCGGCUAACUACGUGCCAGCAGCCGCGGUAAUAAGUAGGGGGCAAGCGUUAUCCGGAAUUACUGGGUGGAAAGGGAGCGUAGACGGCAGCACAAGUCUGGAGUGAAAUGCCGGGGCUUAACCCCGGAACUGCUUUGGAAACUGUGCAGCUAGAGUGCAGGAGAGGUAAGUGGAAUUCCUAGUGUAGCGGUGAAAUGCGUAGAUAUUAGGAGGAACACCAGUGGCGAAGGCGGCUUACUGGACUGUAACUGACGUUGAGGCUCGAAAGCGUGGGGAGCAAACAGGAUUAGAUACCCGUGUAGUC
rnacentral:rRNA from 1 species